UGGGCCUAAUUAAUUUAGUGGGCUCAAAUUAGCUCCUCUUACACACCUUCGUAAUUGUCCUGAACUUGAAAAUUUGUCAGGACUUGAAAACCUAAACUCUCUGCAGGAACUGGAUAUAAGUCAAUGUAAUAGUCUUACGUCCCUUCCAGUGCAAGCGUUGCAAGGCUUCACUUCCCUUGCAUCCUUAGAAAUUAGUGGAUGUCCAGAGUUACAAUCUUUUCCAGAGGGUAUGCAACAUUUGAAUGCUCUCCGAGAUUUGGUUAUAUCCAAUUGCGGCAGAUUAAUUUCUCUACCAAAUUGGCUAGGAAGCCUCCGGUCAUUAUCAAAAUUAUGGAUUUUCCAUUGCCCUAAUCUAAGGAGUUUGCCGGAUGGGCUGCAGGAUUAGAAGACUCUGAAAAUGCUGGAAAUUGCUGAAUGUCCACAUUUGGAGCUCGGUGCGAGAGACAGACUGGGGAGGAUUGGCUGAAGAUAGCUCACAUUCCCCAGAUUUCGGUCAAUUAUGAAGACGUACAACCCUUGGAUUGUUAAUGCACUAGUUUGAAGCCGAGAUUCACAUCCAACAGUUUGCAGAAAGCUAAUUUGAGGAAGUGUGACAACAUAGUCCCAAGUUAGUGCAAAAUUGAAGACUCGAGUUUUUGAUGCAGCGUGCUUGAAGAAUUUUGUGGCUGACACAUCAUAGUUUUCAAGGUUGAAGAAAUUCGAAAUUGUAUUCCAUCGCAGAGCGGGCAUGGGUACAGAAUGCUCUCAUUUCUCUAAUCAAGCUGAAAAGCUUGUGUUGUAAUAUCAUAGAUGGCUGUGAAGAAUUGUAAUAAUUGAUUGCUGCAAAACAUUGUUUAGUUUCCUUUGAUUUUAUAUUUCUAAGCACAGGAUGGUAUUUUAGAUGCUAGAUAUUCUUUGUGGAUUGGCUUUUUCCAGGUUGCUUCCUAGUUUGAUCUUUCUUCUUUGAGGGACGAUUUCCAUUUAUUUGCUCAUUUUUAGCUAAUUUAGAGCCAUUAUGUGAAUCAAUAGGCCAUCAGUUUCUUUUUCUUUUUCUUUUUUACA